rnacentral:rRNA from 1 species
CGACUCUCGGCAACGGAUAUCUAGGCUCUCGCAUCGAUGAAGAACGUAGUGAAAUGCGAUACUUGGUGUGAAUUGCAGAAUCCCGUGAACCAUCGAGUCUUUGAACGCAAGUUGCGCCCGAGGCCUUCCGGCCGAGGGCACGUCUGUAUGGGCGUCACGCA